UGUCAGUUGGUCUCUUGUGAAUAGUUUUCUCAUUGGCAAUCAUACCACAUCUUCUUUUUUUAUGUAUAAUUGUUAACUUCAAUGUCAUUUGGUCUCUUGUAGAGAGUUGUCUUAUUGUCUAUCAUAUCAUGCACAUCUUUUUUUUUUAUAUAUAAAAUUAAAAAUUACAUCACUGCGUUAGAUUAUAUCGACUUUUACAAUUUUGGGAGACUAUUAAAAAAU
rnacentral:lncRNA from 1 species